rnacentral:rRNA from 1 species
CAGUAGCCGCGGGAAUACGGAGGGGGCUAGCGUUGUUCGGAAUUACUGGGCGUAAAGCGCACGUAGGCGGCUUUGUAAGUUAGAGGUGAAAGCCCGGAGCUCAACUCCGGAAUUGCCUUUAAGACUGCAGAGCUAGCAGGUGAGAGAGGUGAGUGGAAUUCCGAGUGUAGAGGUGAAAUUCGUAGAUAUUCGGAAGAACACCAGUGGCGAAGGCGGCUCACUGGCUCAUACUGGACGCUGAGGUGCGAAAGCGUGGGGAGCAAACAGGAUUAGAUACCCCGGUAGUCCCUGUCUCUUAUAC